GAUGAACGCUGGCGGCGUGCCUAAUACAUGCAAGUCGAGCGAAGCGGGGACGGGGGAGUAACACGUGGAUAACCUCCUAUAAGACUGGGAUAACUUCGUGAAACCGGAGCUAAACCGGAAACUUAGAGAUGGAUCCACGUUGCAUUAGCUAGUGGGUAAGGUAACGGCUUACCAAGUCAACGAUCCCUAGCUGACCUGAGAGGGUGAUCGGCCACACUGGAACUGAGACACGGUCCAGACUCCUACGGGAGGCAGCAGUAGGGAAUAUUCCGCAAUGGGCGAAAGCCUGACGGAGCAACGCCGCGUGAGUGAUGAAGGUCUUCGGAUCGUAAAACUCUGUUAUUAGGGAAGCGGUACCUAAUCAGAAAGCCACGGCUAACUACGUGCCAGCAGCCGCGGUAAUUC
rnacentral:rRNA from 1 species